CUGAGUGAUGAUAAAGAGGGGAGGGUGCACCCGAUUGAGGAGAGAAAGAGGAAGGAAAUGAGCGACCCGUGUUAUCAGGAA
rnacentral:snoRNA from 1 species